rnacentral:rRNA from 1 species
AGGAUAAACGCUAGCGGUGUGCAUUAUGCAUGCAAGUCGAACGGUUUAUCGAAAGAUAAGCAGUGGCAAACGGCUGAGUAACACGUAAGUAAUCCAUCCCAAAGUGGGGAAUAAUCCGCCGAAAGGCGGGCUAAUGUCCCAUAAGACCACAGGGAGGCAUCUUCCAGGGGUCAAAGCCGCAAGGGGCGCUUGAGGAGGAGCCUGAGUCCUAUCAGGUAGUUGGUGGGGUAACGGCUCACCAAGCCUUCGACGGGUAGCUGGUCUGAGAGGAUGUCCAGCCAGACGGGGACUGAGACACGGCCCCGACUCCUACGGGAGGCAGCAGCAGGGAAUUUUGCGCAAUGGGCGAAAGCCUGACGCAGCAACACCGCGUGAGGGAAGAAGGCCUUCGGGUUGUAAACCUCUUUUAUCAGGGAAGAAUAAUGACGGUACCUGGUGAAUAAGUCACGGCUAACUACGUGCCAGCAGCUGCGGUAAUACGUAGGUGGCGAGCGUUAUCCGGAUUCAUUGGGCGUAAAGAGCGCGUAGGUGGUCCUUCAAGUCAGAUGUUAAAUCUCCCGGCUUAACUGGGAGCUGUCAUCUGAUACUGCUGGACUUGAGGGUGGUAGAGGGAGGUGGAAUUCCCGGUGUAGUGGUGAAAUGCGUAGAUAUCGGGAGGAACACCAGUGGCGAAAGCGGCCUCCUAGGCCAUUCCUGACACUGAGGCGCGAAAGCGUGGGGAGCGAACAGGAUCAGAUACCCUGGUAGUCCUAGCCGUAAACGGUGCAUGUUUGCUGUAAAAGGAAUCGACCCCUUUUGUGGCGUAGCCAACGCGUUAAACAUGCCGCCUGGGAAGUACGGUCGCAAGAUUAAA